rnacentral:rRNA from 1 species
GAUGAACGCUGGCGGCGUGCUUAACACAUGCAAGUCGAGCGGACAGGCGAUGCUCUUGCUCCUUUCACGUUAGGGGCGGACGGGUGAGUAACACGUGGAACACCUACCUAUAAGUCUGGUAAAUUCUCGGGAAACGGGCUCAUACCCCGUAUGACAUCCUGAACCGCAGGGGGGAACAGUAAAAGACGGCCGUUCUGUCAGUAAUAGAUGCAUCCGCGCCGCAUUAGCUAGUUGUUAAGUUGACAGGUUACCAAGGCAAGGAUGCGUAAGCGACCUGAGAGGGGGGUCGGCGACACGGGAACUGAGACGCCGACCAGACUCCUGCGGGACGCAGCAGUAGGCAACCUUCCGCAGUGGGCGAGAGCAUGACGGAACGACGCCACGUGAGUGAAGAAAGUCUUCGGAUCGUGAAACUGUGUUAUGAGGGGAAAACAGAUGUGUAAGGAACUAUGCACGUCUUGACGGUACCUGAUCAGAAAGCCACGGCUAACUACGUG